UUGUCUUUUAAUUAAAGACUAGAACAAAAGAUUAAACAAUUUAAUAAAUAUAUUAUAUAUUAAUAUAUUUAAUUUAUUUUUUAUGUAAAAAAACAUUAAUAACCUAGAAAGACGACAAGACCCUAUUAAACUUAACUUAAGUUAAACUGGGGCAGUUAAUCAAAUAUUAUUUUAAUUAUUUUUUAAUAAUAAAAGAUCUAAUAUAAUUAAUUAUAUAAUUAAGUUACUAUAGGGAUAACAGCGUAAUAUUAAUCUAAAGAUCUUAUUUAAAUAAAAGAUUGCGACCUCGAUGUUGAAUUAAUAACCUACAUUAUUGUAAUAAAUAAACAAAGGAAGUCUGUUCGACUUUUAAAAAAUUACA
rnacentral:rRNA from 1 species